rnacentral:rRNA from 1 species
AACGAACGCUGGCGGCAUGCCUAACACAUGCAAGUCGAACGAACCCUUCGGGGUUAGUGGCGCACGGGUGCGUAACGCGUGGGAAUCUGCCCUUUGCUUCGGAAUAACAGUUAGAAAUGACUGCUAAUACCGGAUGAUGUCUUCGGACCAAAGAUUUAUCGGCAAGGGAUGAGCCCGCGUAGGAUUAGGUAGUUGGUGGGGUAAAGGCCUACCAAGCCGACGAUCCUUAGCUGGUCUGAGAGGAUGAUCAGCCACACUGGGACUGAGACACGGCCCAGACUCCUACGGGAGGCAGCAGUGGGGAAUAUUGGACAAUGGGCGCAAGCCUGAUCCAGCAAUGCCGCGUGAGUGAUGAAGGCCUUCGGGUCGUAAAGCUCUUUUACCAGGGAUGAUAAUGACAGUACCGGGAGAAUAAGCUCCGGCUAACUCCGUGCCAGCAGCCGCAGUAAUAC